CAGUCGCCACGGGAAUACGAAGGGGGCUAGCGUUGCUCGGAAUUACUGGGCGUAAAGGGCGCGUAGGCGGAUAGUUUAGUCAGAGGUGAAAGCCCAGGGCUCAACCUUGGAAUUGCCUUUGAUACUGGCUAUCUUGAGUUCGGAAGAGGUAAGUGGAAUGCCGAGUGUAGAGGUGAAAUUCGUAGAGAUCGGGAGGAACAUCAGUGGCGAAGGCGGCCAUCUGGGACAACACUGACGCUGAGGCACGAAAGCGUGGGGAGCAAACAGGAUUAGAUACCCGCGUAGUCCCUGUCUCUUAUAC
rnacentral:rRNA from 1 species